rnacentral:rRNA from 1 species
AAACUAGGAUUAGAUACCCUAUUAUGCUUAGCCCUAAACAUCGAUUUGAUGACCCCAUUAAAUCCGCCCGGAAAUUACGAACAUUAGUUUAAAACCCAAAGGACUUGGCGGUGCUUUAUAUCCACCUAGAGGAGCCUGUUCUAGAACCGAUAAUCCCCGUUAAACCUCACCCUCCCUUGCUCUACCCGCCUAUAUACCGCCGUCGUCC